UACGAAGGGUGCAAGCGUUACUCGGAAUUACUGGGCGUAAAGCGUGCGUAGGUGGUGAGUUAAGUCUGUCGUGAAAGCCCCCGGGCUCAACCUGGGAAUGGCGAUGGAUACUGGCUCGCUAGAGUGCGGUAGAGGAGAGUGGAAUUCCCCGGUGUAGCAGUGAAAUGCGUAGAGAUCGGGAGGAACAUCAGUUGCGAAGGCGGCUCUCUGGACCAGCACUGACGCUGAGGAGCGAAAGCGUGGGGAGCAAACAGG
rnacentral:rRNA from 1 species